rnacentral:lncRNA from 1 species
AUGGUUUGGUUUCCAGAGCAGAUUUUGGAGCAUGCAAAGCAGGUUCCUUUGCAGGAUGGCGUGCCAGCACGCCCCUCACCUCUGCACCAGGAGAAGUCUGAUCCCCAUCAGGCAGGCAUGGAUCAGAGUCUAUGGCUGAACCUCUGCACAGACUCAAGCUGGUUUCACAGACCAGAUACUGAGAUGAUUCAGAUGAUGAAGAAACAACAUCUAAUGUGAAAGAACAAUACACAGUGUUGUAGUUAGUCAAUUCUACACAAAAUGGUAAUGGCACAAUCUGUGUUCACUCAAACUGUGGCUGAAAUUUUUAGAUGGGAAAGAGAGCCUGAUUUUGCUUCUUAUACUCAUUUAUGGUAUGUGAGUGUAUCAGACUUUUGAACAGUAGUGAAGGGAAAUACUGGUUAUGAACUAAGAAACCUGAACAGUUUGGCUUUAUUUGAAAAUUUCUCAGUUGUGAAUAAUCCAUAUUAACUUUACACAUAGGGCAAAAGACUUUACUUUGCCUCUGCUGGACCCUUUAAGAAAAUCUACUUUGUUCUAUGUCCUUUAAGACAUGAACAGGAUGCCUUUAUUUAAAUACCACUGGAAUCUUUCUUUUUAUUUAUUUUAUAUGGUAGAAAGUGUAUUUUCAGUUGCAGAUAUUGUUAUAUAAGCAGCAUUAAAAUCUGUGAGGACACUUGCAAUUCAUUCUUCGUGCUGGUUUAACAUCUCUACACUGCAACAGUUUGCAAUACAUCCACAUCUUCCAGAUGUACCUCUAUUUGCUAUUGCAUUUUCUAUGUAGAUAUAUUUCUUUACAGAGAGAUAGUGAGGCAUCAAAACAAAGCAAUUGAGGUCAAAAUUGAAGGUGAAGAAUCCAGGGACAGUAGAACAGUUGGAUGAAGACCAUGACGUAGAGAAAAUGGUAGCCACAAGCAAUGCAGCUGUCUGAGCUGGAGGAACACCAGGCUCACUCUUCCUCCUACCCCAGCAGAAUCAUCCAUAGGAAUUCCUUGGAGUUCUUCCUUAGCAUGGGAGGUGAUUUUGGAAACAGAUAAGAUGUAUUCUAAUUAAAACAAAUGACAGUAUCUGUUACAUGUAGUCUAUUUAUAGCUUAGGAAAAUAUGUACAUCUUUUUUAAAAACACUUGAAAAACAGUGAAGACCAUUGCUCCUAACAUAUGUAUAUCAGCUUAACUUUCCUGAGUUGGCUUGGAGCCAAUUUUAUGAGUUUUUAAUGA